GAGAAAGACAGAAAAUAAUAAGUUCUGCUAAUACUUAUAAACCAGGGUUAAAUUCCGUGGCUUUCUCA
rnacentral:tRNA from 1 species